rnacentral:rRNA from 1 species
UACGUAGGGGGCUAGCGUUGUCCGGAAUCAUUGGGCGUAAAGCGCGUGUAGGCGGUCCGGUAAGUCCGCUGUGAAAGUCGGGGGCUCAACCCUCGGAUGCCGGUGGAUACUGUCGGGCUUGAGUACGGAAGAGGCGAGAGGAAUUCCUGGUGUAGCGGUGAAAUGCGCAGAUAUCAGGAGGAACACCAAUUGCGAAGGCAGCUCGCUGGGACGUUACUGACGCUGAGACGCGAAAGCGUGGGGAGCAAACAGG